rnacentral:lncRNA from 1 species
AACUGUAAGUAUAUUCUAAAACUGAGCUUUUCUUUUCCAGUGUUUUUCUGGAGGAAGAGCAAUAAAGUUCGUGGCCACAGAGGUGCUGGUGGGAUGGAUGCGGUUCUGGAUCUGAGCUCUAAUCACAAUUGCAGCAGCUGUACCCAGAGGACCAGUGCUGGAUCCCCACUCUGGGGAAGGCAAUGGCUGUGCACCCUGGAGCUCAUGUUCACUGGGGAUCUGCAGGUAGAGCCGGAGGUUCCCUGGAUAGAUCAACUGGGUUAGGAAGACUCACGGGGCCAUUUCUACAGGAGAAAACAGAGACUCCAUUUUCUGGGUGUCAUUUCACUUUCCACCUGCCCCAUGGAGCUGUUGCUGCCACAUCCGCAAGAAUGGUGUUCAGGUUUCUGGCACCUGCCAUGCUUAGGAAUGUUCAGCUUCUUAUCUCUGCUCUCUCCAGUCCAGAGAAGAUAAAAAUAGGGCAAGUGAGCCUGCACCAACAUAGUCUAAGCCUUGCUUCUCGGGUUCUCAUGUCUGGAAGAAGAAAAGAUGGCAUAAGCGUAUUUUCCUGCACUAACACAGGCGCGUACACACUCUUGCUCACACACAGCAUUAAGACAUUAGAAGGAUGUGGCUCCAAACAUACAAGUGUCUCUGCUAUUUAUGGAAUCUUCAUCAAAGAGAGCCUGAAUUAUACUGCAUUUUCUUCUGGUUUAUACAUUUUAUGAGCCCAUGGUUUGCUUUUGGGGUAAGACUUCCUAAUUAAUUUAUUUUUCAAUAAGUAGUACAUUCACAUAUUCAAACUCCAAAAUGUGCUAAAAGGUACACAUGGCAAUCGUUUUUCUCUCCUGUCUCUCAUCAAAUUCCAUACCUCUAACAAGUAAUCACUGUUAUUGUUUUCCUGUUUAUUCUUCCAGAAUUU